rnacentral:lncRNA from 10 species
CUGCCUUGACCUCUGUCCUUCCCAUCUAGCCUCCUGAUUUAUUCUUCCUCAGCCCACAUCUUCCAUCAGAGGAUCCCACGAAAACAGUGCCAAAGAGAAUUCAGAACUACGUCCACUGGUCCAGUAACCCAUGAUAAGAAAACUGAGGCUCAGAACGGGAAGUUCAUUGCUCAUCAUCAAACAUCCAGGAAAUGGUGGAGCCUGAAUGGGAACUCAGCUUCCAACAUGGCGUGGAUGUGGCCCAUCCCUUGGUGGCCUGGCUGGGUCUAUCUUAUGACAGUACGAGAUUGAAUGUUGGAGUGCCUUGCAGAAGAGAGAGAAAAUGUUGCUAAAACUUCAGGGGAAUGACUGGUCGAAAAUGUUUGACAUUCUUAAACUUGACAGGCCCAGAAACAGAAGGGGCUGGGGACCUGGGCUCCUGGGUCUGAGGGAGGAGGGGUUGGGGCGGGGGGUCUGGACUCUUGGGUCUGAGGAAGGAGGGGCUGGGGGGGAGCCUGGACUCCUGGGUCUGAGGGAGGAGGGGUUGGGGCGGGGGGUCUGGACUCCUGGGUCUGAGGAAGGAGGGGCUGGGGGGGAUCUGGACUCCUGGGCCUGAGGGAGGAGGGGCUGGGGGGAGUCUGGAUUCCUGGGUCUGAGGGAGGAGGGGCUGGCGGCGGGGAGCGGUCUGAACUCCUGGGUCUGAGGGAGGAGGGGCUGGGGGGAGUCUGGACUCCUGGGUCUGAGGAAGGAGGGGCUGGGGGC